rnacentral:tRNA from 1 species
CGGGGCAUGGCUUAGUCUGGUAGAGCGCUCGCUUUGGGAGCGAGAGAUCGCAGGUUCGAAUCCUGCUGCCCCGACCA